rnacentral:rRNA from 1 species
GGGGGGGGGGGGGGGGGGGCGGGGGGCGGGCGGGGCGGGCGGGCCCUGCGGGGUGAGCGGCGGACGGGUGCGUAGCGCGUGGGAACGUGCCCUUUGCUUCGGCAUAGCCCUGGGCAACUGGGAGUAAUACCGGAUACGCCCUUUUGGGGACAGAUUUAUCGGCGAAGGAUCGGCCCGCGUUGGAUUAGGUAGUUGGUGGGGGAAUGGCCUACCAAGCCGACGAUCCAUAGCUGGUUUGAGAGGAUGAUCAGCCACACUGGGACCGAGACACGGCCCAGACUCCUACGGGAAGCAGCAGUGGGGAAUCUUAGACAAUGGGGGAAACCCUGAUCUAGCCAUGCCGCGUGAGCGAUGAAGGCCUUAGGGUUGUAAAGCUCUUUCACCGGGGAAGAUAAUGACGGUACCCGGAGAAGAAGCCCCGGCUAACUCCGUG